rnacentral:SRP_RNA from 10 species
UUACCAGGAGCUCUGCGCUGCUGCUCUCAGCGGCGACACGGAGGAGUGUCGGAGACUGCUGAGCUCCGGAGAGAUCGAGAAUUUGGAUUGGAAGACGCCCGAGGACGGCAACACAGCACUGCAUAUUGCGAGCG